rnacentral:misc_RNA from 1 species
UAUGGACCAUCUUUCAAAUAAUUGUGUUGCCGUUCCUGUUCUGCCUUUAGCCAAAGGCGAGUCAACCUUCCAAGAUUUUUUCGGCAAACUGUCUUAUCAACAGUUGCACCUCUUCUUAUACGUUCACGAUUAUAGUGAGCAACAUUUGUCCACCAGUCUGCUUUUGACUUAACGUAACGAAGAAUCAUAUUUUCAAUGGGCACUGGCAAGCCAGGAACCUUCCAGGG